AUUGAACGCUGGCGGAAUGCUGUACACAUGCAAGUCGAACGGCAGCACGGACUUCGGUCUGGUGGCGAGUGGCGAACGGGUGAGUAAUACAUCGGAACGUGCCCAAUCGUGGGGGAUAACGUAGCGAAAGCUACGCUAAUACCGCAUACGAUCUAAGGAUGAAAGCGGGGGAUCGCAAGACCUCGCGCGAUUGGAGCGGCCGAUGGCAGAUUAGGUAGUUGGUAGGGGAAAGGCCUACCAAGGCGACGAUCUGUAGCUGGUCUGAGAGGAUGAUCAGCCACACUGGGACUGAGACACGGCCCAGACUCCUACGGGAGGCAGCAGUGGGGAAUUUUGGACAAUGGACGCAAGUCUGACCGAGCGACGCCGCGUGCGGGAUGAAGGCCUUCGGGUUGUAAACCGCUGUCGUAGGGGAGGAAAUGCAGGUGGGUACUCCCAUCUGCUUGACUGAUCCUAGGAGGAAGGACCGGCUAAUCUCGUGCCAGCAGCCGCGGUAA
rnacentral:rRNA from 1 species